UGAGUGGCAUUAACUAAAUAAGUUAAAACUUUCAACAACGGAUCUCUUGGCUCUAGCAUCGAUGAAGAACGCAGCGAAAUGCGAUAAGUAAUGUGAAUUGCAGAAUUCAGUGAAUCAUCGAAUCUUUGAACGCACAUUGCGCCUGGCAGUAUUCUGCCAGGCAUGCCUGUCCGAGCGUCAUUUCACCACUCAAGCUCUGCUUGGUGUUGGAGGACCCGCGUUUAGUCGCGGGCCGCCGAAAUGCAUCGGCUGUUGUAUAUACAGCUUCCCUGUGUAGUAAAUGCUUAGCUUUACACUUUGAAACUUUUAUAUAACAUGCCGGAAAAC
rnacentral:misc_RNA from 2 species